AUUCCCUGGGGAUCUUGAUAAAAUGCAGAUUCUGAUUCAGUAGGUUUGGGGUGGGUCCUGGGAGUCUGCAUUUUUAACAAGCUCCCAGGUGAUGCUAC
rnacentral:pre_miRNA from 1 species